UUGGUUUGUAUAAGAGCAGUAGUUGCUGGUCUAUUUCUUCAUCACAUAGCUUGUAGGGUGUGCACUGUGUUACUGGGAGAUCCAGUUCUUAUAGCCUCAUCAGUAAGGAUGAGGUUGUGUCAUCCCACACAAAAAUACCCUUUCAGAAGCCCAAACUUUUGCAGCUUUUGUCUUACAUUACCUGAAUCAUCCAGUCCCAGUCUUCUUCCUAAUUUGUUUUCCUUCUCUGUGCUGUUCUUGUCUCUUUUCUUCCAGUGAAAUUAAGCCUGCAGAAUGUUUGUCUUUUAAAAGGUAAAACAUAUCCUCACAAACUUUUGGUUCUCAGCAAAUGAUCAGACUAACUCUUUACAUGACUUUUUUUUCCUUAUUUAUAAUACUUAAACAGCUUUAAAUGUCUUCUUUCUGCAUUUAUUCAAACUGAAGACCCUCAGGAAUAGAAAGCUUAAUAGCCAGUGAAAGCUGAAGUCUACUAAUUUAUUUUACAGGACACUAAUUAAGAGACUAAAUAAUUUCCUUUACAUUCUUGAAAAUUCAACAUAUAUGAAUGUGGAUUUUGGGCUCUCUCUUUCUGAAUGAGUUAUUUAUUAUCUGAAUAAAUAAUCAAAUAAGGCUGUGAUUCAAUUCAGGUUGUUCAGUUCAGGGUUGCUGAAAAGAGGGUGAUGAAGUUCGAUCUGAUUAAUGAUGUUUAAGUUUGGCUUGAAUGGAUUUUGUCCUGUUGUCCUGCACUUGUUAAGUAUCUUUCAUUUUUCCACUACUGCAACAUAUCAGACUCUGAAUGGACAGAAUAGGAGGCACUUUUCAUAAAGACUAAAUAAUAAUCAUUUAAAAACACCCAUCUGAAAAAAACGGUUUAAGGAUGCAUCCAUAGUUGUUUGUUCAGGGAUGUCAAUCAUUAUUUGUUGAAAAUGUCACCCUUUGAUAGUAUUUCCAUUGACACUUGCGUUGCUUUUGACAUGCACUUCAAACGUGCUAAGAAACAGAGGAAGCAAUACACAUUUAUUCACAAAAUAAAUUGGGUGGAUCAAGUACAGGUCAUAAAGGUUGGCAUUCUCUUUGAGUCAACAGCCCGAAAAUGUCAUGCCAGCAAUCUGUCAUGUAUCUGAUGCAUCUCUUGUUGAUAGAGGUCAUUGUAUUACUUUCUGUUUUUUGCAAAUGCAUUUUUUUCAUUGCUAGUUCACACCAUAUUGUCUGAGUUGGACACACUUGGAUUUACUCAAUACAAACAGCAUUUGCAGAAACAGAAGAACACUUUGUUUCCCCCAAGAAGUGAGUGGAACUGCUGCUUGGAAACCAGUCACAUAGCAACAGAGUACUGAUUUUCCUUCCCUUCCAAAACAAAAGACAACCCCAAAUCUGUGUCUUUACAUCUCAUUUUAAGUGCCGUGUGCCUGAGCAUUAAUUGUUACAACAACAGUUGCUGGAGAUUCCAAGGUGAUACUUCUGGUUCCUAUCCAAGGUUUGAGGGAUCUGAAGUGAAGUGUAUGGGAAGACUCCUGUCACCAUCUGUUCCUUUGUAUGGCAAACUUCUCCAUUUUCCAGUUCAUCUCCUAUGAAAAGAUUUUCCAGUACUGAAGGUAGUUAGUUGAUGAACAUGCUCCCACAGAUACUCUGGGAUAUUACUGGGACCUGGAAAAUAAAGCCUACCCUAAUUUUUUUUUUUUUUGCAGAAUUAGAUGUGUGUUUUGAUUUGAGAGAACUGGCCAUUUUUUAGUCCCCCACCU